AUGGAUGAUUUCAUCUCCAUUAGUCUGCUGUCUCUGGCUUUGCUGGUGGAAUGUUACGUGGCUGGAAUCAUUCCCUUGGCUUAAUUUCUCAGAGGAGCGACUGAAGCUGGUGACUGUCUUGGGUGCUGGCCUUGCCUGUGGAACUGCACUGCCAGUCAUUGUGCCUGAAGGAGUACACGCCCUUUAUGAGGAUAUUCUUGAAGGAAAGCAUCAUCAAGCAAGUGAAACACAGAACGUGACUGCCUCAGACAAAGCGGCAGAAAUAUCAGCUGUCCAUGAACAUGAGCACAGCCACAGACACACACACCUGCACCCCUGCAUUGGGGUUUCCCUGGUACUGGGCUUCGUGUUCAUGUUGCAGAUCGGCAGUUCCCACGUGCGUUCUGCUGAGGAUCCAGAAGCAGCAAGAUGGAGCAGUUCCCAAAUCACCCCCACACUGGGGCUGGCUGUCCACGCUGCGGCUGAUGGUGUUGCCUUGGGAGCAGCAGCUUCUACUUCACAGACUAGUGUGCAGUUAAUUGUGUUUGUGGCAAUAAUGCUACAUAAGGCACCAGCUGCUUUGGGACUGGGUUCCUUCUUAAUGCAUGCCGGCCUAGAGCGGAAUCGAAUCAGAAAGCACUUGCUGGUCUUGGUGCUGGCAGCACCAGUUAUAUCCAUGAUGACAUACUUGGGACUAAGUAAGAGCAGUAAAGAAGCCCUCUCAGGGGUGAAUGCCACUGGAGUGGCCAUGCUCUUCUCUGCUGGGACAUUUCUUUAUGUUGUUACAGUACACGUCCUCCCCAAGGUGGGAGGAAUGGGGCACAGCCACCAGCCUGACACCACUGGAGGGAGAGGCCUCAGCCGCCUGGAGGAGGCGGCUCUGGUUCUGGGUUGCCUCAUCCCACUCAUCCUGUCGCUGGGAAACCAGUAUUAA